UGAUAAGCUGGGAACAUGUGUUGUUAAAUUUAUACUGCGAUAAGAAUACUCGGUACAUUACACAUUAAAUUACAAAGUGGUGUGUGACCUACAUGUGCAUGCCAAUUAGUAUUCGUGGAUACAGAGAUUUAAUGUUCAAAGCCUGAAGACUCAAGAAUCGGAGGAAGUCGUAUUGAACAUGCAAGCAUACAAGGGCUGACCUCACGUGACCUAUCGUGCAGAACGUGGUGGCAUCCUGGAAGAUGUAGUGGUGCUUUGACGUCUGCUGCACAACCGCCUGAUAAGCUGUCAUGAAAAGCGAGCGCCAUACGAUUUGACUCUGUGAGCAUGCAUGUGAUGAACAAUAUGGGUUUAAUAUGAAGUUACGCGUUAUGAGUGUACCACAUGAUUUGACUAUAACAAUACGAGUUUGUA